UUUCCCCAGAAUUCCGGAUUGCGAAGGCCAGUUUUCUUCCGUUUGUCCUGACGUGGAGGGGCGAAAAGCCUGGGGGAGCGAACAGGAUUAGAUUACCCUGUUAGUCCACGCCGUUAACCGAUGGAUACUAGUUGUUGGGCAUUAGCUCAGUGACUAAGCGAAAAGUGAUAAGUAUCCCACCUGGGGAGUACGGUCGCAAGACUGAAACUCAAAGGAAUUGACGGGGGCCCGCACAAGCGGUGGAGCAUGUGGUUUAAUUCGAUGAUACGCGAGGAACCUUACCAGGGCUUAAAUGUAGUAUGACAGGUUUAGAGAUAGACUUUUCUUCGGACAUAUUACAAGGUGCUGCAUGGUUGUCGUCAGCUCGUGCCGUGAGGUGUCAGGUUAAGUCCUAUAACGAGCGCAACCCCUGUCGUUAGUUGCCAGCAUGUUAUGAUGGGGACUCUAACGAGACUGCCUACGCAAGUAGAGAGGAAGGUGGGGAUGACGUCAAAUCAUCACGGCCCUUACGUCCUGGGCCACACACGUGCUACAAUGGUAUGGACAAUGAGCAGCCAUCUGGCAACAGAGAGCGAAUCUAUAAACCAUAUCACAGUUCGGAUCGGAGUCUGCAACUCGACUUCGUGAAGCUGGAAUCGCUAGUAAUCGGAUAUCAGCCAUGAUCCGGUGAAUACGUUCCCGGGCCUUGUACACACCGCCCGUCAAGCCAUGGAAGCUGGGAGUGCCUGAAGUCGGUCACCGCAAGGAGCCGCCUAGGGUAAAACUGGUAACUAGGGCUAAGUCGUAACAAGGUAGCCGUACCGGAAGGUGCGGCUG
rnacentral:rRNA from 1 species